UCUCUCUCUCUCUCUCGCUGAGCUCUUUGAUUUUUUUCUACCGUUGCCUAGUCUCCUCCCUGACUUGACCGUCGGAGGGUCCCCGUCGGAGUCACCUUCGGUCAGUGCGGACUCCUUUUGCAGGCGCUCGUUCCCGGUGAUCAGGCGACGAGGGGAUUGGCCGCAACAGGUUUUGGCGCGCCAGGUAGGGGGAGCGACAGGGAUUACGACCCCCACAGAACUUGAAACAUCCUUUCGAGAUACAAGAACCAGAGCUCAGCGAUCGAGGGCCACC
rnacentral:lncRNA from 1 species